UUUGUGGAGACCCCCAAGGGAAGUCUGUGGCUGGGAGGAUAAGGCUGCAGAUGCGAAGGAGGGGAGAUGAAAAGGGCCGGCGUUUGGCACUCACAGGGCAGGCACCCUGUGUCAUCACCAGUCACUUCCCCAUUCAUGUGAGUUUCAAGGGUUGUCAGCUGGGGUCUGGUGAGAGCUGGCUCACCUGGAGUUGGCCCAGCACUCAGGCUACUCUUGAGAAGCCAGUGCCUGGGUCAGAGCACGUUGGGCCUGCCAUCGCACAUGCUGUGCCAAGUCCUGGAUGUGAGGACCCAGGAUACAUGGGAUCCUGACCCCACGUGUGGAAGUCUGAUCGUGGCCCCCACGGAUAUCAGGUCCUAAUCCCUGGAACCUGAACGUGGACUCGGGCUGCUCACCAGAGGAGGGACGCCACUACCUAGACGUGAAGACUGAGCCAAACCAGUAUGCGCUAAGGUGGGCCCCAGCACUGACCUGUCACUGACUCUCCCCCUCAUCAAAGUACUAAAAAUCCAGCCCUGGGUGGACAGAUUUAACAGGCCCAUGAGACGAGUGAUGCAUGAUAAAGCACGUCCUGUCCACCGCACUAAUGCUCCCCACUUCCUGCCUUCUCUCCCCACCUUUACCUGCUCUAGCCAACCCUUUCCUCUCCCAGCCUCUUUGUAAUCUUUCCCUGACCUUUGCUCAGAGAAAUAGCAUGAGGGACCCUUCCCUUUCUGCUGUCUCCCUCGAGCUCUAACAUAAGCCCCAGUAAAAGCCUUGUCUGGAACUUUCAGUUUGGUUUCUCUGUUGCUUGGAUAGCCCCAGGACCCGAAAUAGUAACGAGCAGGUAACGUGUGGAGCCACCGGAAC